AGUUGAUCAUGGCUCAGGAUGGACGCUAGCGGCAGGCUUAACACAUGCAAGUCGAGGGGCAGCGGGAUGUAGCAAUACAUUGCCGGCGACCGGCGGAUGGGUGCGUAACGCGUAUGCAACCUACCUUAUACAGGGGAAUAACCUUUCGAAAGGGAGACUAACACCCCAUGGUAUUGAUUUAAGGCAUCUUAGAUUAAUUAAAUAUUUAUAGGUAUAAGAUGGGCAUGCGUAUGAUUAGCUAGUUGGUAAGGUAACGGCUUACCAAGGCGACGAUCAUUAGGGGUUCUGAGAGGAAGGUCCCCCCACACUGGUACUGAGACACGGACCAGACUCCUACGGGAGGCAGCAGUGAGGAAUAUUGGUCAAUGGGCGCAAGCCUGAACCAGCCAUGCCGCGUGCAGGAAAGACGGCCUUAUGGGUUGUAAACUGCUUUUACAUAAGACUAACCGUAUAUUUGCGAAUAUACCUGAAUGUAUUAUGAGAAUAAGGAUCGGCUAACUCCGUGCCAGCAGCCGC
rnacentral:rRNA from 1 species